AUGGUGGAUGUAUACAACAGCACACUCGAUUUCUCAGGUUGUCUGGCGCUGGUUCAUCUCAAGAUUGACGACAGCGACAUAGAGGGGAACAUCACUUCUCCGUUAUUGCAACAUCUCAGCAUCAACCUUAGUUAUUUUCAGACAGGCCCCUUCUGCACACGGAUCCGUACGCCUAACCUUGUUUCCCUGGAGCUAAUCAAUGUUAUGCGUAGGGCUCCGGUACUGGAUGAAAACAUGCCACUGUUAGUUUCGGCAAGUGUUAUUCUUGGUUGA
rnacentral:rRNA from 1 species